AUUGAACGCUGGCGGCAGGCUUAACACAUGCAAGUCGAGCGGGGUGAGGUGCUUCGGUACUGAUCCUAGCGGCGGACGGGUGAGUAAUGCUUAGGAAUCUGCCAUUUAGUGGGGGACAACAUUCCGAAAGGGAUGCUAAUACCGCAUACGUCCUACGGGAGAAAGCAGGGGAUCUUCGGACCUUGCGCUAAAUGAUGAGCCUAAGUCGGAUUAGCUAGUUGGUGGGGUAAAGGCCUACCAAGGCGACGAUCUGUAGCGGGUCUGAGAGGAUGAUCCGCCACACUGGGACUGAGACACGGCCCAGACUCCUACGGGAGGCAGCAGUGGGGAAUAUUGGACAAUGGGCGGAAGCCUGAUCCAGCCAUGCCGCGUGUGUGAAGAAGGCCUUUUGGUUGUAAAGCACUUUAAGCGAGGAGGAGGCUACCUAGAUUAAUACUCUGGGAUAGUGGACGUUACUCGCAGAAUAAGCACCGGCUAACUCUGUGCCAGCCGCCGCCGUAACAC
rnacentral:rRNA from 1 species